rnacentral:misc_RNA from 1 species
CUGCUUGCUUGAGAAAGUUCUGGUUAUCAUCCUCGAGAGCCAUCUGGAUAGGACUUGAGCCCAAACCAUCAGCAAUAGCAAGCAAGAUCUUCUUGAUCUCAGACCUAAACUCUUCAAGAUCAACCGUUCCACUCUUAUCACAAUCAAAUUUCUCAAAUAUGGAGUCAUACAACUGGGUGAGCUGCUCUGGAGGGGUAACGAUGUCGAUUCCAAAGUGGGAUUCGAUCAAACGCAUGGUCUCGAAAGCCUUUCGAAGCUCAGAACGGGACAAAACUCCAUCGCUGUUGAGGUCAAGCUUGGCAAAAGUUUCAUCCACGCUCUUCUUGAAGUGGGCUUCAUCGUUCACGAAGUCACGUCCUGUUGAGCCAUCUAUGA